UCUCUGUUAGUAUAUCGGUUAGUACACGCGCCUGUCAUGUAAAAUGCCCGUCAAUACGCGCGAAAGCGGGGUUCGACUCCCCGACAGAGAG